GACAGGCUGCGGGGGGCGCCGCGUGAGAACGAGGGGGCUGUCCACCGCUUCUCGCUCCCACGGUCCUGCCCGCCUGCUCCCGUUACGCUGGGGUUUCUCUCGAACUGUGUUGGGGAAGGGACGGGGGCGAGUCUCGGCUGCUCCAGCUCUGCCCCAUGGCCGGGGGCAGUUCCUGGCUGAACAACCCGAUGCUACCUGACCCUUAGUAAGCCCUUAAUGUGCGCUGCCUGUGAGGUAUGUACUCUAUCCUCGUUUUUAAAAUGAGGAAGCUAAGGCUCAGAGAGGUUAAGUCACUUGCCCCGUGUCCCACAGCUAGUAAGCGGUGGGAUUCCAACCCAAGCAGACUGGUUUCAGAGCCCACAGCAUACUGCCCUCAUGCCCAUCGGAAGAAAAUGAGCACAACCUUCUAGUCUUGAUGUGAAGACGGAAGAGAACUGUGCCUCCAAGGGGGUGUUCCGCAGUUACCCAGGGACGGACACCCACACGCUCCCAGUUACACAGACACUGACACACACACGUUAUUGUCAAAGCUCGUCCUCCCACCACCACCAUUUGGGGUUAAUGCGUCAUCAAUCCUCAACUCACACACUCAGUUCCAGCGUGAAAGGGGAGCCAGCCAGGUGGAGGGGAGCACAGAGCGAAGACGGACAGUGCAAGUUCUCUGCUUCUAGUCUUGACACAGCCUCAGUUACUCUGCUUCUCAUUUCCCUCACCUGACCCAGAACACUGGUUGUCAAGAGCACAGGCUUUUUAUAUCUGAACCUGGGUUUGCAGCUGAGUUGCACCCCUUAUUUGCUGUGUGGCCUUGGACAAGUUGGUUGACCUCUCUGAGCCGUUCAUAAAAUACCUAUCUCCAAAAGGUUGUCGGAGGAUUAACUGAGAUAAAAACGUGUAAACCACUUAGCCAAGUACAGACAACAUUUACACAAUAAUGGUAGUAAUUACUGUUCCUCUAUCACAGGCCUGAAGUGGAAACUGCUAAACACCCACUUAAAGAAUUUCUCACCAGCUGGGCCAGGGAGGGAGGAGGCGGCUCCUGGACCUUCAUCUCAGAGCUUGGGUGGUUCUCACCUUGUUCCUCGCCCAGGCCAGGCCUUCUCUGUCCCUCCCCCCUGGUUUAGCUAGUUAUGGAAGGCUGGCUGCUCUCAAGCCCCAAGAGGACAGAGGACAACAGAAGGGAUGCGCACUCAGGAAGAAAUUUCAGCAUGUCUGGGAGGAGAGGGGAGGGGCUGUGGGUUUCCAUCCUCUGGAAGGCACAGACGUGGGAGGGUCCAUCCUGCCUAGAGUCCGGGGUAACCCGGUUUGAGCAGGGCCAGAGCAGUGUGGGGGCCGUUUGCAGUCUCUGCCUCCAAGCAUGGGACCUGUAACAUUGCAGGACGUCAGCUGGGACUCAGAAGGCCAGUGUCAGCUCUGUCACUUCCUCUGCCUCUCUGGCUUUCAAAUGGAAAUAAUAGCCGUCGCCUGCCCACUCUGUUGUGAAACGCGUCGCUCUGUCUGCAGGGUCUCACAGCAGUCCGGAAAGAAUGCUGGAGGCUCCUUGUCUCUGUGGGUCAGAGGCAGAAUUCCAGAGGUCAUCUCGUUCAGCUCCCGCUGGCCCAGUCCUCAGCAGCUUUCCCAGCAGUAGCCACGGUCACUGCUCAGCAUCUAUUGAGCCAGGUGCUGUUCUAGGCUCUGGAGAUACAGCAGUGACUAAAAAAGACCAGGAUCCCACUGUCGGCUGGUACAGAUGCCCUCCCUCCUACCUCACAGGGAGAACAGAGGCCAUCAGCUGGCAAUUCCCUCCACGUCUGGCCGUCAAACCCACAAACACCUCUGUCCACACCCACCUGCCCUCUCCUCCUUCUCUUCAGGCCUAGAAGAAGGGAUGAGGGCCCCCCGUUGAGGCCAGUCCUCCUCUUUCCCUCUGCAUCCUGCCUCUUCACCUCCUUCCCGACUACAUUCCGUCAGGCAUCUCGCCUCCUAAUUCUUACACUGUUCCUUCUCCCCUGCUCUUCCGAGUGACAGAGCAAGGGAGUAGAGCAGUAAAAGCAGUCCAUCCAGGGUGCAGGCAGUAAGGACACUGUCUACAGAGUAUUGAAAAACAACGAAACUGACAAAACAUGGUCUGCUUUUUACUAGCAGCGUGCACCCGCCAUUCUAACCCACAUCAGUAAGAAAAUAUUUCUUCUCCCUGAGGCAGACCAUUCCCACCACCUCUGACUUCAUACUCCCCUGGCUCCUUCCCUCGUCCCAGAAACAGGGCUCCCCUCUACAGUAAAAAUCCUCUCUCAACCCAAUGUCCUCCACAAGGUACCAUGCCUGCUCCUCCCUUUUCAAAUCCAGCCUUCCAGAGGGUGGUUUACAUUCCCCGACUCCAGCUCCUCAGCUUCCUCCAUCCUUCAGCCCACGGCAGCUCCAUCUCCGUCACUCAGCUGAAACUGCUCCCACCAGAGCCACCAAGCAGACAUUGUCCAAUCCUCACCUUACCUGGCUGCUCACCGGCACUGCAGCCAUCCCUCCUGGGCAUCUCCAUCUCCCUUGGCUGCCAGGAAGUCACACUGUCCUUGUUCUCCUCCAACCCCUGGCCACUCCCUCGCUGUCUUUUUUAUGAGCUACGAUUCCUCUAGUUCCCAUUAAAGAUUGCUGUUCUAUGAGACUUCAUCACUGGCCCUCUCGCUUCUUAUCUCACACAGUCUCCUUGGUGCAUCCCAACCACACCUACAGCUUCAAAUAGUAUCUUCCUCUCCAUUGCUGAGCUCCAGACCCACUUUCUAGCUGCCUCCACUUAAAUGCGCCGUGGACACCAUACAUUCGAUAUGUCCAUCCGUGUGCUGUGUUCUCUGACCCAGAGAAUGACCCUCUGUCCAUUCACUCCUCCAGAAGCAUACGAGUCAAAAAGGACUCCUUUCUCCUCACAUGGUCACCAAGGGCUGUGGAUGAGGAUGAUCACAUCCAUCCUCAUCUCUCAGUGAUCUCUGCUACUGCCUUAGUUCAGACCUUGUGCUCUUUCUCCUGGACUCUUGUACCAUCUUCCUGCCUUAUCUUCUGGCCUCUAAUCCUUCCCCAGUUCUAUCUUUGUACUUGCAGCUCAAGUGAUGUUUUGAAAACACAAAUCUGGACAUGUCAGAUCCCUGUUUCAAAUCCUCCCCAUUGGUCUAAAGCAUAAAGUCUGAGCUCUUUAUCCCAACGUUCAAGGCCUUUUAUGAUUUGCCCCGUCCCUCUCCAGCCCCAUUGCCCCUAAUGCCCCAAAAUACCCUCUGCUCCAGCCACACUGGCUUGCCUAGCUCCAACCAUGCUCCAUUCUCUCCUGCCUCCAUGCUUCUGCACACACUCUCUUAACUCAGACUGCUCCCGGCUACCUGGAAGACGGGCCUUCUCACCAUCUCUCUCCACCCUUGGAAUUGAGUUCUCCCUUCUCCAGGCUUCCUCAGCUCUCUGUUGAUAUGUAUCACACCCUAUGGUAACCACCCAUUCACCUGAUACAUUUUCAUUGGGCACCUACCAUAUACCAUAUCCUGUUAUGGACACUGGGGCUGCUGAGGCUGAGCUCAAGAAGUUGCUAGUCCGGUGGUGGAAACACACAUAAGUAGACCACUGCAUACCAUGGGAUAACUGCAGAAAUAGGGGUUGUAACAGGUGCUGAAGAGCACAGAGUUGGAUCCCAACCCUACCUGGAGAGCUCAGGAAGGUUGAUGCCUCCAAGUCCCUUAGCAAAUCACAAUUUC